CCUACACAAUAAUUUAUAAUAAAUGAAUGUUCAAAAACAGUGGAUUUAUCUGGUUGCUGUUCUAAACCCUGCCUUGCUUAUGAAAAUGUCAAAUGUCUUUCAAUAACUGAUAAAAUGAAUGUUUCGAAAAUUGUAAGAGCUAUAUAGUUUUUUUUUAUUAUGAACCAGCAAUUUUUUCAGAGGAUUUCAAGUGAAUUUGUCUUGGUUUUGUUCAGACGUGUCCAUGCAGGUCAAUCGCCCCACCAAUAGAUCGUGUGAGGUUUUUAUUUGAUAUAUAAAAUAGGUAUCAAUAAUUUUUAAGUACAAAUGCAACUGGUACUAAAUGCCAUCAAGAUGAUUCCGGAUCUUGGAAAUACUUAGGAUUAAAAUGUUAAUUAAACACUUCUUUUAUAAAUUUCAGUAAAUAUUCUCAAGGUUAAGAUAGAAUUAUGGAAAACUAAGUGGGAACAAUCAAUUUGCAAAGUUAUAAUAAAAUAAUAUAUUUUUAGAAUCAAAAUUGGAAAUGAUUAAUUUAAUUUAAAUAUUAGAUUCUGAGUGUACAUUUUAAUGUACCUAUUGGAUUGAUUUAAUGAUGUUUUUUUAAACUGCAACAAAAAUGUCUAAAAUGUCAGAAAUCUUGCUUCAAUAUUUAAGUGCAGCAUCUUUUAUGGAAGAAAAUAUUGCCGUAUUGACUUAAUGGUACUUUAGGAAGGUCAUUUUUUGAUAUUCCAAGUAGUUUUUCAUCAUAAUAGGAAAACCCAGGAAAAACGUAAGAAAAGCGGUAAAAUUUACGAAUGUAAUGCUUUUAUUACUUUCGAUUUUUUUUUUUUUUU